rnacentral:tRNA from 1 species
AUUUUAAUAGUUUAAUUUUAAAACAUCGAUCUUGUAAAUCGAAAAUAAGAAAAUCUUUUAAAAUA